UACGUAGGGUGCGAGCGUUAAUCGGAAUUACUGGGCGUAAAGCGUGCGCAGGCGGCUCUAUAAGUCAGAUGUGAAAUCCCCGGGCUCAACCUGGGAAUGGCAUUUGUGACUGUAGAGCUAGAGUACGGUAGAGGGGGAUGGAAUUCCGCGUGUAGCAGUGAAAUGCGUAGAUAUGCGGAGGAACACCGAUGGCGAAGGCAAUCCCCUGGACCUGUACUGACGCUCAUGCACGAAAGCGUGGGGAGCAAACAGG
rnacentral:rRNA from 1 species